UACGGGGGGGGCAAGCGUUGUUCGGAAUUACUGGGCGUAAAGGGCGCGUAGGCGGCGUGUUAAGUCACUUGUGAAAUCUCUAAGCUUAACUUAGAACGGUCAAGUGAUACUGAUGUGCUAGAGUGCAGAAGGGGCAACCGGAAUUCUUGGUGUAGCGGUGAAAUGCGUAGAUAUCAAGAGGAACACCUGAGGUGAAGACGGGUUGCUGGGCUGACACUGACGCUGAGGCGCGAAAGCUAGGGUAGCAAACGGG
rnacentral:rRNA from 1 species